AGUGAACGCUGGCGGCGUGCUUAACACAUGCAAGUCGAACGAGAACGGAUUAUCGCUUGCUAUAAUUGUCAGCUAAGUGGCGCACGGGUGAGUAAUGUAUAGGUAAUAUGCCUCUUACUAAGGGAUAACAAUUGGAAACGUUUGCUAAUACCUUAUACUCCUUAUUAACAUAAGUUAAUAAGGGAAAGAUUUAUUGGUAAGAGAUUAGCCUGUAUUGUAUCAGUUAGUUGGUGGGGUAAUGGCUUACCAAGACUAUGACACAUAACUGGUUUGAGAGGAUGAUCAGUCACACUGGAACGGAGACACGGUCCAGACUCCUACGGGAGGCAGCAGUGGGGAAUAUUGCACAAUGGACGAAAGUCUGAUGCAGCAACGCCGCGUGGAGGAUGACACAUUUCGGUGCGUAAACUCCUUUUAUAUGAGAAGAUAAUGACGGUAUUAUAUGAAUAAGCACCGGCUAACUCCGUGCCAGCCGCCGCCGUAA
rnacentral:rRNA from 1 species